AGAGUUUGAUCCUGGCUCAGGAUGAACGCUAGCGGCAGGCUUAACACAUGCAAGUCGGGCGGCAGCGGGGUGGGAGCUUGCUCCCACUGCCGGCGAGCGGCGCACGGGUGAGUAAUACGUAUGCAACCUGCCCCUGUCAGGGGGACAACCCGCCGAAAGGCGGGCUAAGCCCGCGUAUAUCGCCCCGGGGCAUCCCGGGGGGAGGAAAGGAGCGAUCCGGACAGGGAUGGGCAUGCGGCGCAUUAGCUGGUCGGCGGGGUAACGGCCCACCGAGGCGACGAUGCGUAGGGGUUCUGAGAGGAAGGCCCCCCACACUGGUACUGAGACACGGACCAGACUCCUACGGGAGGCAGCAGUGAGGAAUAUUGGUCAAUGGGCGGGAGCCUGAACCAGCCAAGCCGCGUGAGGGAAGAAGGUACAGCGUAUCGUAAACCUCUUUUGUCAGGGAACAAAGGCGGGGACUAGUCCCCGGAUGAGGGUACCUGAAGAAAAAGCAUCGGCUAACUCCGUGCCAGCAGCCGCGGUAAUACGGAGGAUGCGAGCGUUAUCCGGAUUUAUUGGGUUUAAAGGGUGCGCAGGCGGCCUGUUAAGUCAGCGGUAAAAGCCCGGGGCUCAACCCCGGCGAGCCGUUGAAACUGGCGGGCUGGAGUUGGAGAGAAGUACGCGGAAUGCGCGGUGUAGCGGUGAAAUGCUUAGAUAUCGCGUAGAACCCCGAUUGCGAAGGCAGCGUACCGGCUCCACACUGACGCUGAGGCACGAAAGCGUGGGUAUCGAACAGGAUUAGAUACCCUGGUAGUCCACGCAGUAAACGAUGAAUG
rnacentral:rRNA from 1 species